CCGUCCUUCAGCACUGCACAAACGCUCUGCGGUCACACCCCGUCUCUCCUCGAAGCUUUUCUGCUGAUCCGUACGUUCGGUGCUAAAUUUAAUGUGCUAAACCCCUGCCGUGCGUGCAGGAAUUGUGUCAGCAGAAGAGGCCCCUCCUCCCCGGCGGUGCUGCCCUCAGCGUGUCUCCGUGCUCUCGGACAUUAACAAAUACCAGAUGGUAAACAGCUCAGCGCUGCCUUUAUCUGUAGGCCCACAGAGGUGAUACAGUGCAGGGAAUGCUUCAGCGGCUCUGAAACGAGGCCAGCAUCGGGCUGGAGGGCAGCAGCUGCUUUCUGCUGCGUGUUGUCACUGUGUGUGCUGCAGUCCUCUGCUUCUGACCAGAAAGGAGGGCAGCAGAGGUUUGGCUGAGUCAGAGGAGGUUCAUGGAGCGCUGUCUGCUGCCCAUCCUCAUGUGCGUGGCAGUGUCCUCCAGGUGUCGGCCCGGCUGCUGGGGGAGGACCCGGCCAUUGAGUCUCCCACACUGCAGUUUACCACAGGCUUCUCUCAUGAUAGUGCCUGGCCAUAUGUGAUUUACUUUGAUCUUGGCACAGAGUCCAAAGUGCUGGAAAGCAAUCACCCAAAUUCUGGUUGGCGAAGCGGGACGAAGGAAGAGACCCCCGCGGUCCCCGG
rnacentral:lncRNA from 1 species